GCUGGAGAGCUGCCAAGGGCAUUGGGGGCUGUAACGUUUGCAGUGCAGUCCUGAGAGGCGAUGAGCAAAAGUGCAAAAACUUCCCCGUGUCUAUUUUGAUGUCUUUCUUUGGGGAUAUAGUAAACAUAAACCCAACUGAUCUAACGUUACGCUUCUGUCUAGGGGCAAAUUUUCCUCUAGAUUCUUUAUAUUCCCUGUGAAAGUUGGAGAGGAAAAAGUGAAGAUUAACUGCACAGGGUGCGAGACAGUUGAUUUCAGAUCCCUUUGAAGACCUUCCAGGGCGUAAUUAUGCUUUGUUCUCUUGUGCUACUGUAUGGAGGCAGAACUCACAGAAGUCCUUAAUAUCUGUGCAUGCAGUUCUACCAAUGACCUCUGAAGGAGGAGGAAAGGAAUCAAAGAAGAGGCAAAGGAAUCAGAGAGGAGUCAGAGCAAAGAUAGUGUAAGCACUGUGACAGAGCUCACUUCCAAAAGAGACUUUUCUGCCUUCCUUCUGCACUGGAAAGAUGUUUCCCAAAUUACUUUCUUCAGCAUUGCUACCCUGUAACAAAGGCAGAUCCAUUUUGCUCCAGUAUCAUGAAGUAGCAGUGGAGUAUAUUCCUUCUGGUCAAAGGAAGAAUACUUCUGGAGAUACUUUUUGCCUUUUCCAGCCUAUCACAAUGCCAUAUAGCGUAUCGACUGGUGAGAGGAUAUUCCUGGAAAUAGCAUCAUGGUCUAGCACCACCACGUUUUACUGAUUCAGGUUAUUGUGUUUUCACCUUCAGUAUCCCUUAACUGAAGAUCUCAUGAAGCUGCUGUAUAGUGCCAGUUUGCCUCAUCAAUACUUUGUUGUUGAUCAUGGGAUCAUUCUACAUUAUACAACCUGGAUCAGCAUCAAUACUGAAAUGAAUUUGUAACUUUUGCUAUAGUUUAUAAUGGACGUUAUGUAUUCUGAAAUUCAGGGAUUUACCUGGAAUCGGAUUAUUCACAAAUAAAAUAGUACUCACUUGUUAGAGUAGUACUGUG
rnacentral:lncRNA from 1 species